rnacentral:rRNA from 1 species
CGACCUGCAGGCGGCCGCGAAUUCACUAGUGAUUCGUAUUACCGCGGGGGCUGGCACAGAGUUAGCCGGUGCUUAUUCUGUCGGUAACGUCAAAACAGCAAAGUAUUAAUUUACUGCCCUUCCUCCCAACUUAAAGUGCUUUACAAUCCGAAGACCUUCUUCACACACGCGGCAUGGCUGGAUCAGGCUUUCGCCCAUUGUCCAAUAUUCCCCACUGCUGCCUCCCGUAGGAGUCUGGACCGUGUCUCAGUUCCAGUGUGACUGAUCAUCCUCUCAGACCAGUUACGGAUCGUCGCCUUGGUGAGCCAUUACCCCACCAACUAGCUAAUCCGACCUAGGCUCAUCUGAUAGCGCAAGGCCCGAAGGUCCCCUGCUUUCUCCCGUAGGACGUAUGCGGUAUUAGCGUCCGUUUCCGAACGUUAU